rnacentral:rRNA from 1 species
AUUGAACGCUGGCGGCAGGCCUAACACAUGCAAGUCGAGCGGGAACUUCGGUUCUAGCGGCGGACGGGUGAGUAAUGCGUAGGAAGCUACCCGACAGAGGGGAUACCAGUUGGAAACGACUGUUAAUACCGCAUAAUGUCUACGGACCAAAGUGUGGGACCUUCGGGCCACAUGCUGUCGGAUGCGCCUACGUGGGAUUAGCUAGUUGGUGAGGUAAUGGCUCACCAAGGCGACGAUCCCUAGCUGGUUUGAGAGGAUGAUCAGCCACACUGGAACUGAGACACGGUCCAGACUCCUACGGGAGGCAGCAGUGGGGAAUAUUGGACAAUGGGCGCAAGCCUGAUUCAGCCGUGCCGCGUGUGUGAAGAAGGCCUUCGGGUUGUAAAGCACUUUCAGUAGGGAGGAAGAGUUGAGUGUUAAUAGUACUCAGCUUUGACGUUACCUACAGAAGAAGCACCGGCUAACUCUGUGCCAGCCGCCGCCGUAAGAC